UACGAAGGGGGCUAGCGUUGCUCGGAAUCACUGGGCGUAAAGCGCACGUAGGCGGAUUGUUAAGUCAGGGGUGAAAUCCCGGAGCUCAACUCCGGAACUGCCUUUGAUACUGGCGAUCUUGAGUCCGGGAGAGGUGAGUGGAACUGCGAGUGUAGAGGUGAAAUUCGUAGAGAUCGGGAGGAACACCAGUGGCGAAGGCGGCUACCUGGACCAGCACUGACACUGAGGCACGAAAGCGUGGGGAGCAAACAGG
rnacentral:rRNA from 1 species